CCUACGUGAGGCAGCAGUAGGGAAUCUUCCACAAUGGGCGAAAGCCUGAUGGAGCAACGCCGCGUGGGUGAAGAAGGUCUUCGGAUCGUAAAACCCUGUUGUUAGAGAAGAAAGUGCGUGAGAGUAACUGUUCACGUUUCGACGGUAUCUAACCAGAAUGCCACGGCUAACUACGUGCCAGCAGCCGCGGUAAUACGUAGGUGGCAAGCGUUAUCCGGUUUUAUUGGGCGUAAAGGGAACGCAGGCGGUCUUUUAAGUCUGAUGUGAAAGCCAUCGGCUUAACCGGAGUAGUGCAUUGGAAAGUGGGAGACUUGAGGGCAGUAGAGGAGAGUGGAACUCGAUGUGUAGCGGUGAAAUGCGUAGAUAUAUGGAAGAACACCAGUGGCGAAAGCGGCUCUCUGGUCUGUAACUGACGCUGAGGUUCGAAAGCGUGGGUAGCAAACAGGAUUAGAUACCCUAGUAGUC
rnacentral:rRNA from 1 species